rnacentral:ncRNA from 1 species
UUAAAAGCUAUGAAAAAGAAAAGUAAAAGGAAGUAUUCUUUCAGGGAAAAUGAGUCAUAGACUGAAAGCUCAUUUAAGACAAUGUCCUUUGAAGUUCGCUUUGGAGCUCCACUUAUGAAAUUGUAGUAGUUAGUGGCGGAUUACACCGUUAAUAGUUUUUGAGGUCUGCUGUGAAAUUUAAUGCAGAUUAAUUAGGGUGGUACCACGUGGAAAGUUCGUCCCUUAG